GCUCCAGUGGCCUAAUGGAUAAGGCACCGGGCUUCUAAGCCGGGGAUUGUGGGUUCGAUCCCCACCUGGAGUA
rfam:Drosophila willistoni strain TSC#14030-0811.24 scf2_1100000004521 genomic scaffold, whole genome shotgun sequence.